AGUGAACGCUGGCGGUAGGCCUAACACAUGCAAGUCGAACGGCAGCACAGUAAGAGCUUGCUCUUACGGGUGGCGAGUGGCGGACGGGUGAGGAAUACAUCGGAAUCUACUUUUUCGUGGGGGAUAACGUAGGGAAACUUACGCUAAUACCGCAUACGACCUACGGGUGAAAGCAGGGGAUCUUCGGACCUUGCGCGAUUCAAUGAGCCGAUGUCGGAUUAGCUAGUUGGCGGGGUAAAGGCCCACCAAGGCGACGAUCCGUAGCUGGUCUGAGAGGAUGAUCAGCCACACUGGAACUGAGACACGGUCCAGACUCCUACGGGAGGCAGCAGUGGGGAAUAUUGGACAAUGGGCGCAAGCCUGAUCCAGCCAUACCGCGUGAGUGAAGAAGGCCUUCGGGUUGUAAAGCCCUUUUGUUGGGAAAGAAAAGCAGCAGGUUAAUACCCCGCUGUUCUGACGGUACCCAAAGAAUAAGCAACGGCUAACUUCGUG
rnacentral:rRNA from 1 species